GCAUUGGUGGUAUAGUGGUGAGCAUAGCUGCCUUCCAAGCAGUUGACCGGGGGUUCGAUUCCCGGCCAAUGCA